GAUGAACGCUAGCGGCGUGCCUAACACAUGCAAGUCGAGCGACCAGACGAGGAUCUCGCCCCUCCUAGGGGAGCGGGGGACGGGGGAGUAUAACACGUAUAACCUAUCUAUAAUACUGGGAUAUAUUCGGCGAACCGGAGCUAAUACGGGAUAAAAUAUCGUACGGCACGUUUCAAUAGUGAAAGACGGCUGUAGGUUCAGUUAUAGAUUGAGCCGCGCCGCAUUGUCUAGUUGGCAGGGUAACGGCUUACCAAGGAGACGAUGCGUAGCCGACCUGAGAGGGUGAUCGGCCACACUGGAACUGAGAGACGGUCCAGACUCAUACGGAAGGCAGGAGGAGGGAAUCUUCAGCAGUGGGCGAGAGCCUGCCGGAGCCACGCCGCGUGAGUGAUGAAGGUCUUCGGAUCGUAAAACGCUGUUCUUAGGGAAGAACAAAUGUGUAAGUACCUAUGCGCGUCUUGACGGACCCGAAUAAGAAAGCCACGGCUACUUACGU
rnacentral:rRNA from 1 species